rnacentral:ncRNA from 1 species
ACUAUGGAGUGUACUUGAACUUGUGAGUAGAUAUGAUUUCKGUCAAUCCAAAGCGUGCACGGUGACAUAGUAA